rnacentral:rRNA from 1 species
UACGGAGGGUGCAAGCGUUGUCCGGAUUUAUUGGGUUUAAAGGGUGCGUAGGCGGCUCAUUAAGUCAGCGGUGAAAGCCUCCAGCUCAACUGGAGAACUGCCAUUGAUACUGAUGAGCUUGAGUAUACUUGAGGUAGGCGGAAUUGACAGUGUAGCGGUGAAAUGCAUAGAUAUUGUCAAGAACACCAAUUGCGAAGGCAGCUUACUAAAUUGUAACUGACGCUGAGGCACGAAAGUGUGGGUAUCAAACAGG